UACGAAGGGGGCUAGCGUUGCUCGGAAUCACUGGGCGUAAAGGGUGCGUAGGCGGUCUGCUAAGUUUGGUGUGAAAUCCCGGGGCUCAACCCUGGAAUUGCAUUGAAUACUGGUGGACUAGAGUACUGGAGAGGAAACUGGAAUUUUACGGUGUAGCAGUGAAAUGCGUAGAGAUCGUAAGGAAGACCAGUGGCGAAGGCGAGUUUCUGGACAG
rnacentral:rRNA from 1 species